rnacentral:lncRNA from 1 species
CAUCUCUAAGGACUUUGGGGAUCCAUGGGAGUCACAGUGUGCACAACUGCCUACCAUGAAUGUGUCUGUGCGAUUCCUUGGAAGUCCAGGCCUGUGUGAGGUAAAACCUCAAAAAGCACAAUUGAUCUUAAACCCAGGGGAAAACCAAGAACUUGGACAUGAUUCUUCAAAGUUAUCACCAUCCAACAGAAGCUGUCAACUCUCUCAUAUGGCAGGAGUCAUGAAACCAAAGACCAAAGACUUGAAGUUACACAGAAAACAGGAGAAGCUACAUGUUUAAAACAGUAAGAUAAAUUUCCUCCUUUUUUGAGUUCUUUUCAUUAUUCUCUUCAACCCACUUUAUACCAAACUGCUUGGCAAUAGUUUAAUGAAUGAAAGAGUUUAAGGGAAAACUACUGU